rnacentral:tRNA from 1 species
CCUUCGAGCCGGAGUUGAACCAGCGACCUAUGGAUAUCUGCUUGAAACUUAAGCUUCACGCCACGCUACAGUCCACCGCUCUACCAACUGAGCUAUCGAAGGU